UACGUAGGGGGCUAGCGUUGUCCGGAAUCAUUGGGCGUAAAGCGCGUGUAGGCGGCCCGGUAAGUCCGCUGUGAAAGUCCAGGGCUCAACCCUGGGAUGCCGGUGGAUACUGUCGGGCUCGAGUCCGGAAGAGGCGAGUGGAAUUCCUGGUGUAGCGGUGAAAUGCGUUGAUAUCAGGAGGAACACCCGUGGCGAAGGCAACAACAUGG
rnacentral:rRNA from 1 species